rnacentral:rRNA from 1 species
ACGGGUGAGUAAUGCUUAGGAAUCUGCCCAGUAGUGGGGGACAACAGUCGGAAACGGCUGCUAAUACCGCAUACGCCCUACGGGGGAAAGCAGGGGAUCUUCGGACCUUGCGCUAUUGGAUGAGCCUAAGUCGGAUUAGCUAGUUGGUGGGGUAAAGGCCUACCAAGGCGACGAUCCGUAGCUGGUCUGAGAGGAUGAUCAGCCACAUCGGGACUGAGACACGGCCCGAACUCCUACGGGAGGCAGCAGUGGGGAAUAUUGGACAAUGGGGGCAACCCUGAUCCAGCCAUGCCGCGUGUGUGAAGAAGGCUUUCGGGUUGUAAAGCACUUUCAGCGAGGAGGAAGGCCUUAAAGUUAAUACCUUUAAGGAUUGACGUUACUCGCAGAAGAAGCACCGGCUAACUCCGUGCCAGCAGCCGCGGUAAUACGGAGGGUGCAAGCGUUAAUCGGAAUUACUGGGCGUAAAGCGCGCGUAGGUGGUUUGGUAAGCGAGAUGUGAAGCCCCGGGCUUAACCUGGGAACGGCAUUUCGAACUGUCAGACUAGAGUGUGGUAGAGGGUAGUGGAAUUUCCUGUGUAGCGGUGAAAUGCGUAGAUAUAGGAAGG